rnacentral:rRNA from 1 species
ACUCCUAGCGGGAGGCAGCAGUGGGGAAUUAUUGCCACAAUGGGCGCAAGCCUGAUGCAGCCAUGCCGCGUGUGAUGAAGAAGGCCUUCGGGUUGUAAAGUACUUUCAGCAGUGAGGAAGGUGGAUAUGUUAAUAGCAUAUUCCAUUUGACGUUAGCUGCAGAAGAAGCACCGGCUAACUCCGUGCCAGCAGCCGCGGUAAUACGGAGGGUGCGAGCGUUAAUCGGAAUUACUGGGCGUAAAGCGCAUGCAGGUGGUUUGUUAAGUCAGAUGUGAAAGCCCGGGGCUCAACCUCGGAAUUGCAUUUGAAACUGGCAAACU